rnacentral:rRNA from 1 species
GCGAAUUUGUGGUUGGUUUUGCAAAAACUGAUUAGGGUUGUGGUUUGUGGCCCCGUGUUUUAGUUUGUUUAACUGUGGCAAUAGAAAGUUUUGUUUCAUUGGCUGCAUGAAAUUUGUUUAUUUAUAAUUGGUUUGUUAUGUUUUCUGAUUAUUUUAUCAGCAGUUGAUUUUUUGUUAAGACGUGAGUCUUAUAAGGGUGAUGCAAUUUGAGGGGAUAGGACACAGUGCCAGCAUCUGCGGUUAGUCUGUUUUCUUUGCUUUUAUGUGGAUAGUGCGUGUUUAUUUAUAUUCAAUGUUAGGUUAAAUUUUUUUGUGUUGGUGUUUAGUAAAUAAAUUUUGUGGUGAUAUAUAUGAUGACAGGGAUUAGAUACCCCAUUAAUGUAUUUUUAAAAUGUUGUCCUGGUUU